rnacentral:rRNA from 1 species
UACGUAGGGUGCGAGCGUUGUCCGGAAUUAUUGGGCGUAAAGAGCUCGUAGGCGGUUUGUCACGUCUGCUGUGAAAUCCCGAGGCUCAACCUCGGGCCUGCAGUGGGUACGGGCAGACUGGAGUGCGGUAGGGGAGAAUGGAAUUCCUGGUGUAGCGGUGGAAUGCGCAGAUAUCAGGAGGAACACCGGUGGCGAAGGCGGUUCUCUGGGCCUGUACUGACGCUGAGGAACGAAAGCGUGGGGAGCGAACAGG